AUGGCUCAGAACGAACGCUGGUGGCGUGUCUUAUACAUGCAAGUCGAGCGAGGCAGCAAUGCCGAGCGGCGAACGGGUGAGUAACGCGUAAGCAAUCUGCCCCAUAUCAGGAAAUACCCGUGCCAACGCGCGGUUAAUGUCCAGGAGAGUGGCCUUCCGCAUGGAGGGUUGACUAGAGAUUUAUCGGUAUGGGAUGAGCUUGCGUCCGAUUAGCUAGUUGGCGGGGCAACGGCCACCAAGGCGACGAUCGGUAGCCGGCCUGAGAGGGUGAUCGGCCACAUUGGGACUGAGAUACGGCCCAGACUCCUACGGGAGGCAGCAGUAGGGAAUAUUGCACGAAUGGGGGAAACCCUGAUGCAGCAACGCCAACCGUGUGGGAAGAAGCAUUUCGGUGUGUAAACCACUGUCAUGAGGGAAUAAGGCCCGCCUUCGGACGGGAUUGAAUGUACCUUGAGAGGAAGCACCGGCAAACUUCGUGCCAGCCGCCGC
rnacentral:rRNA from 1 species